AAUUCGAUCCGAACCGGUUCGACUAAAGUCUCAUAAAACACAAGUUAACGAGUACUUACAUCUGUAUUCAGAAACGAUAUAUCAAUCACACUUAUAUGAUAAUCUUUUUCGUAUAGUUAUUUAUUAAGCGCGAAGGCUUACUCAAAUCUGUUUGUGAAAUGACAGAAUGAAUUUGUUAUUAAAAUAUAUAAGUGUAGUCUCUUAUUAUUAUUAUACGGUAUUAUACGUCUUCUUGAGGAGAAACUGCUUUUUCUUAAUUGUGAUUCGCAAUAAAAAAAUUAGAUAAAUUUGUUGGAAAUACAAGUACACCUUUAACCACUGUCUGGACUGAAUGUAUCGUUCCAAAUUGAAAUUACGAACGGAUAUAUGCAUUAUACUUGAUUGUAUACAAUCGUGAAUGAGUUACAAUUUUGCUUAUGAAGCAAAAUGAAAAUUCAUCAUUUUGAACUUUUUCAAAAAGCAUCACCAAGUAAUUUUUUAACAAAGUUGUACUAAGUAUUACACAAUAAACUAGAUAAAAUCAGAGAAAGGUACUAGGUAGCGUCAAAUGUCGGUUUCCAAUAGUCGUUCUGGUUACGGAAUCUUUUCGUUGAUUUUGUCAACGUAUUCUUGCACUACUUUCGCAAAUUCUUUCUUCACCAUAUUUGUUAUGCUUGUACGAAAUAUAGUAGUAAUAGCUUUGGCCGCAAUAUUAACUACCGGAUCACCUGUAUUACAUUGAAAAAUGGCGUUGAACUUGCUGAAAACAAAGUAAAAAUUAAUCGAUUAGAACUAAUUCAAUAUGCUCUAAAAACUGUGCACCACUUUCAAAACGAUGGACAGUUGUGCUAACGCAACAACAAAUAACAAUUACUCGAUUUUAACGAUCUUGGCCAUUAGGGAGGAAAAUUGUAUAAUAAAUCCUCCAAUUUCAUAGGAUCUAUUCCAUGCUUCAAAAUAAAAUUGUGAAUCGUGGGUAACAUCGUGUCCAACAACUUAUUAACUUUAGCCGAUACCUUCUUAAGCCUGAUGUCAUUUUCCCUGUGCCGUAAAAAAAGAUAUAUUUUAGAAGCAGUUGAUUCUCCUCAAAGUAUUCGACAUUUCGCGGAUGACAAAUACAAAUACACGAUAUUUCAGAGUGAGAAUUGUUAAGGUAAAGAAAGGAUUCGGAAAUACAAAUCGUUUACUUUAUUUUACACACAACAGCUAUACAUAUAUCUUACACUCUGAAGACCUCGAUAACCUUCUUGCACGCACGCUUAUUCUCAACCGACUCUUCCAGAUUCUUCUAACAUCUGGCGACAGUCUUUUGUCUCAACUAAGACCUGGACGCCCCCUAACGCUUACACACACAUUCACAUGUACAGUGUAAAUGUAUCAUCUACCCAACAAGAAUAUGUAUUACCAAAACUGAUCAUACGAUCUAAAUGUAUAUAUGUAUUUAUUAACGAUAAAUAUGUAGUGGCAAUAACUUACGUGGUAUCGACAAAGCUCGAAAAGCUAGCAGUAAACAAAAUAGAAAAAGGAAAUAGAAAACCAAGUAGAAUUUGAUAAAUCAUGAUGAAUCGAUGCAGUCGAAUGAUCAAUUGUCAACAAUCUGGCUCCCGAUCAUCAAUCUUCUCUAGUUUUAUUGAGUUAUCUAAAGACUUAUCGAAUUAUAUCGACAUUACAACCAUCAUUAAAAAAUUUGAUCGAGCAACGGUAUAGAUUAUUGCAACGAAUACGUUGAUGAAUUAUACAGAAUUUGGACUAAAAGGAAUUUAAAAUCGUCGUCGGCCGCAUACCCUUUGAGUUUGAAUUAUCAUCACGAAAUUUCUUGCUUAUCCUUGAGGUAUUCUCGAAUGUACGUCGCUGCACGCUCGUUCUUCGAUGUUUUCGACCAACUUAUUUUUCACAAAGUGAGUCACGCCGAUGUUGAUAGACGUCGUUAAACGAUCCACCAAAGUACUCUUACUCUUCUCACGAAAAAUUCUACUGGACCCGGAAGACGAAAUUACUAGAUAUAGCAUCUUAGAUCUAUAGAUCUAGACGAUCUUUUCGUCUCUUCCUUAUCGGGAAAAUAGCAGUUGAUAACAUGAAGAUCAAUGGCAAUGUUAACGCUGACCGAAUUUGUCUCUGCAAAUAUCUCCUCGCGCUGCUGAAUAAGGAGUAGUUGCUGGAAAUAAUGGAACAUUGCUUAAGACAUCGUAAAACAUGUUUUUUUAUUCGAUCGAGAAGAAUGUUGUUAUUAACUAUGAUUAUAAAAAUGUGGUCAAACGUAACGUUCGCAUCGAUACUGAACGUUUCAUCUUUGUAUACGGCGGUAAUGGUAGCAGCACGUUCUAUUCUUGAUAAGUUGUGUAAUUUACCCGAAGAAAAGGAAUGGGCUAUGUCGAUGUAGACGAUAAAGGGAAAUAGAGAAUACUGAAAAGGAACUUUUCAAUUGAUUUCGAAUGUAUUCCUUUCGUUCUUUUUCUCCUUUUUCUCCCUUCUUGUCCUCCUUUUAGGUUAUGAAUCCGAUUAUUGACAAUUUCCGACACUACUCUGCUGUUACGCGAUUACUGCAGCAGCGAGUGUCCAUGAGGAUUUCUCCGCGUACAGAAAAAAAAAAAGAUCGAAAA